UUGAGAUAUUCUCACGUAAGAUUCCAACGGGGGAUUUUCGCUCUUUCGGUACAGGAACGAUGAAUCUGUGGCGGAAGCCGUGACUCUGCAUGCGCAAGUUAAUGCCAAAGUGCGGGCUCCGUUUUCAUUCCUGUCUUCCCAGCUCUCACCGCGUAGCCGCAGGCAAGUUACUCAGCCCUUUCAACCUCAUCCUUUAAAAAUCGACAGCGGCGGCACCGUUGACAUCUUGAGCCAGGGUUCCAGCAAAGAGCAAUGCCUGUUUGAGAAAAUGUCAUGUUCCAGAAAAUACUGAUUCAGAAAAGACUGAUGGACUAUCUGAGUGAAUAUGGAAGAAGUUGAAAUUUGACAAAUGCACUCGUGGUAUGCAGAAAUUGCUUCCGGUGACUUGCCUCAGUAUUCUGAGCCUCAAACCUUGCUGACCCCUUCUCCACUCUCCCUGCACGCAUGUACAUCCCCUCAGGAUCCAGCUUCUAUCUCCGAUCGAGGAAGAAUGAUUUCAGAAAUAGAGGUCACAUUCAUAACACGCAGAAGCAUGAAAAUUGUUACCAUAUUUCAAUUGCAGCUACACUUUCUGCCCCUCUAAGGAAACAAGGCCUUCUGUAUCUUGGUUGCAUCUUUGACUAUUUGGGUAAGUGUUCUGUCCCUCCCUCCUUCUUCUUUCCAAUAUACUCUGCCUGGGGACCAUUACCCUUUUGGCUGGAAGUUGUGAACAAUGAGUGAGGCCAGCCACAGAGCUCAAUGAAGAACAGACUCAAUAACCAGGGCUUGAAUAUGCAGCUUUCAUAUGUGGCUUCCUAUGAGGUAUUGAAAUGUCACAGAAUAAUAGGAAACAAAUAUAUUGUUGCAAAAUUAUUGACUAUGUGCUCUUGAGGGCAGAGAUCAUGUUUAACUCAAUCUUGUGCUUGUUACCCAAUAGAUAAUAGAAACCCAGCAAAUGUCUGCUGGGGGAGGAAAGAGUAGGAGUGAGAGUCCACUGUAUCAUUUAGCCCAGAAUUAAGAGAGCGGCCGAGAGAGGAAAUGUAAUAGAAAAUAGGUUUCAAGGAUUCUAAGGCAGUGUUUUUUCAAAAAUGUUGACCUGUAUUAAUAGUAAAAAAUAUAUUUGCAUCAUAAACCACACACAUACUCACAUACUAGUUGAAACCAACUGAAUUUCUCUGUGAACCAUUGGGAUGCCACCCACAUAUACAAACUAUAGUAGAAAAUAUGGAGCCAAUAAAGGGAAAAUGGAAAGGACCAGAAUUGCUGGUACCCAGGAAAGUACUAGCAAUUACUACUGAAUUGCUGCUGUUAAAAUGGCCCAUUAUUUACUUCUUAUAGUCUUUAACAGCAUUUUAUUAUUAGUACUUAGUCAGUUAAUUCUUUUUUUUUUU